UACAGAGGUGCGAGCGUUGUCCGGAAUCACUGGGCGUAAAGCGCACGUAGGCGGCUUCUUAAGUCAGGGGUGAAAUCCUGGAAGCUCAACUCCAGAACUGCCUUUGGAUACUGAGGAAGCUUGAGUUCGGGAGAGGUGAGUGGAAGCUGCGAGUGUAGAGGUGAAAUUCGUAGAUAUUCGCAAGAACACCAGUGGCGAAGGCGGACUCACUGGCCCGAUACUGACGCUGAGGUGCGAAAGCGAUGGGGAGCAAACGGG
rnacentral:rRNA from 1 species